rnacentral:rRNA from 1 species
GACGAACCGUGCAAACGUUGUUCGGAAUCACUGGGCUUAAAGGGCGCGUAGGCGGGUUCCCAAGUCGGUGGUGAAAUCUUUCAGCUCAACUGGAAAAGUGCCGCCGAUACUGGGAGUCUUGAGGGAGGUAGGGGUCGGGGGAACUAAUGGUGGAGCGGUGAAAUGCGUAGAUAUCAUUAGGAACGCCGGUGGCGAAAGCGCCCGACUGGACCUCUUCUGACGCUGAGGCGCGAAAGCCAGGGGAGCAAACGGG